UACGUAGGCAGCAAGCGUUGUUCGGAGUUACUGGGCGUAAAGAGCGCGCAGGCGGUCGUUCAAGUCGCGUGUGAAAGCCCCCGGCUCAACUGGGGAGGGUCACGCGAUACUGAUCGACUCGAAGGCAGGAGAGGGUAGUGGAAUUCCCGGUGUAGUGGUGAAAUGCGUAGAUAUCGGGAGGAACACCAGUGGCGAAGGCGACUACCUGGCCUGUUUCUUGACGCUGAGGCGCGAAAGCUAGGGGAGCAAACGGG
rnacentral:rRNA from 1 species